rnacentral:rRNA from 1 species
UACGGAGGGGGCUAGCGUGGUUUGGAAUUACUGGGCGUAAAGCGCACGUAGGCGGAUCAGAAAGUCAGAGGUGAAAUCCCAGGGCUCAACCUUGGAACUGCCUUUGAAACUCCUGAUCUUGAGGUCGAGAGAGGUGAGUGGAAUUCCGAGUGUAGAGGUGAAAUUCGUAGAUAUUCGGAGGAACACCAGUGGCGAAGGCGGCUCACUGGCUCGAUACUGACGCUGAGGUGCGAAAGCGUGGGGAGCAAACAGG